rnacentral:misc_RNA from 1 species
GAUGAAGAACGCAGCGAAAUGCGAUAAGUAGUGUGAAUUGCAGAAUUCAGUGAAUCAUCGAAUCUUUGAACGCACAUUGCGCCCCCUGGUAUUCCGGGGGGCAUGCCUGUCCGAGCGUCAUUACAACCCUCAAGCUCAGCUUGGUGUUGGGCCCCGCCGCCCCGGCGGGCCCUAAAGUCAGUGGCGGUGCCGUCCGGCUCCGAGCGUAGUAAUUCUUCUCGCUCUGGAGGUCCGGUCGUGUGCUCGCCAGCAACCCCCAAUUUUUUUCAGGUUGACCUCGGAUCAGGUAGGGAUACCCGCUGAACUUAAGCAUAUCAAUAAGCGGAGGA